CCUCCAGCGCCAACACCUGUCGAAGCUAGUGCGUCUACAGAACAAUCGCACUUCGAGUUGAUUUCGGAUGAUGAAUCUGCAGAGAUGUUUUAUGCAUAUGCGAUUCUACAAUGAAAAUAGACAGAAGGAACAAUUUUCAUGUCAAUUUUCAUGUCAAUAUUAAUUAAUAAAUAAUACAUGUAUUAUGUUUGUUGCAUUUUGUAGUGACCAUAUGCAUAACUAGCGAUUCCAUCAUCUAGAAGAUAUCGUUUAUCAUCAAAACAGGAUAAACCUAUUUUAGUGAUUUUCUCAAGAAAAAUUUUAUGAUUGUGACUUCUGAAUGAAUGCAUUUUUGAUAAUAGCGAGGACUCUUCAAAUAACACAUUUUUAUAAUGUUGUAAUCUUAAUUCUUUUUUAACAACAUGUUUUGAAAUUCCUUUCGCUCUUUUGUCUUCUUUGUUAUCACAAAUAUAUGCAUACAUUUUUGAUCGCAAACCACAAUAUUCCGAUAUACUUUUGUUUAUUGUUUCACUUUUCAUUUUACCCAUUACCUUUUUAUUUACAUUACUGAAAAGAUAAUGAUCUUUAGGGAAAUCAGAAGUAUCAAACAAAUGGGCAUAUGCAUACAUGUCAUUAAACAAAUCAUUUGUUUCACAAUAAAACAAAAACGAAUCGGUAUCAGUCAUUUGUAACUGCACUUUUGAACCAUAAAGUCGUUUCAAAUGGUUAUAAUAGAAGUCAUACAUAGUAUAUUUUGAUAAAUCUAAAACAGUCAUUCCAAUAUAUAUGGGUUUAUUAAGUUUCAAUUUAAGACGAUUUAAUUCUACUCCAACAAGAUCUUCACAGAAAAUUCUAUGGAGUUUAUAGGUUGAUUUUGCAGCGACCUUCUUCAAUCUUUUUUCUGUGUGGACCAACUCUACUGAACGAUGCUUUCGAAGAUUUUCCAUUGUUUUACCUGAAAUAUAAUAAGAAGUAUGUAUUAUUAUUUUUUCUAUUAUUGUUGAAAUACAUGUAUCGAUUUUUAUGCAAUCGCUGUAUGCUAUCCUAUUUACUUUCAGCUCAUUAGUACUAAAAUUCUAUUUCGGUUACUUAAAUCUCUUUCCUAUAAAUUAUUAACAUGGGGGUUCAUUUCAUCGACGACCAUCUUGUUGAAAAUUAACAUCAACAAAUCUUCUGAAACUUUAAUAACUGUUAUUUAUGCUGGAGAUAGAGUUGCAGGUUUCGAUAAUGGAGUACGUAGUCUUUCUUGUCUUCUAGAGUGCAGAGUUCAAUGAUGGCGGUGUGGAAGCAGCUUCCAAAGAAGAGGCACCUGCAGCACUCUGGUCUUCUCGCAUUGCAUAGUGGUGGUCAUUAUCGAUCAGUGAAGAGGCACCUGCAGCACUCUGGUCUUCUCGCAUUGCAUAGCGGUGGUCAUUAUCGAUCAGUGAAGAAUUUUUUUGAGAGAGUCGGAACACAAUCAAAGUUUGAUGAGGGAAUAUCUCUGUUCGUAGUUUAUAUAACUGAUUUGAAUGUGGACUUAUAUCAACCACUGCAAUGGUUUGAGAGCGACACUCAAGUCGAUUGAAUGGGUACUUGGCUGUACUACUUUUCAACAUCUCAGAAUGGGCAACGAUGAUAGCUGGAUUGACCCUGACUUUCUUUGCUAGAAGUCUGUUCUGAUGGAGAAACUGAGUUGAUGCUGACACUACUUUCUGGAGCAGACUUUUGUGAGGUUACAAAUCCCUUUCCUACCUGAGAAGGCUUCCAUUGCUGUGGAGUGCAUUGAACGACAUCAUGGCCUAGAAGAACAUACCCGGGGAUAAUACCAGCAGCAACAAGUAUCACGCAACCGCCAAAAUGCACGCCGCCAUUUUGAAGCAUGUCUGAGUGAACCGAUGGUUUCCAUGGAUUCCACGAAGAUUCAAUUGAUUUGUUGGUUUUUAAUUCUCCAAUUAUUUUUAAAAAUAAACAUUUUGGUGAA